UACAUGCAUUUUUAUAUGUUAUUGGCAUCUACCCUUUAGUUUCAGAGCUCUUUAGCUGUACAGGAAGCUCACGGUGGGCAGGUUUCCAUCAUCACAUCACGUUCGUGCUGAGGCGUGUGGGGUCUCGCAUGCGAUUGGCCGCGGCUCAGAGCAGGGACUGCAGCCUCUCUUUAUCCCUUCAUGGAGCUUUGCAAGGGAAACAGGCAGAAAAGGGUCAGGGCGAGAGAUUUAUAUACAUCAAAAGCUGACUGAGGAACAAAUCGGAGGUUGCUGUGAAACAUGAUUUACUGACUGUCUCAGCUCUCAUUGUGUGGCACAUAUGAGGAUCCCAGUCUAUUACCACCAUCUGCUGGUGACACACAGGACAGCGAGAACAAAUUCAGCUAAAAACAGAUUUCAGCUGUGAAUCUAGUAAGAUUUUUACUUACGGGUCAUUUGAUUUCGGUAUCAGCGUUCCGAGCUCCUUGAUCCUGUAGUUGAUGUUGUAUCGCCGUCGUCUUUCAACUGCCAAUUAUGAGAACAAAGUCCUGCUCGGACAGGCGUCUGUGCCCUUCUGUGCUCCAUACCUGUGACUUCCAUUUUAACUGAGAGCUUUGUGGGCAAUGAGGGUGUCAGUCCACCGUGAGCGGCAGUCAUACCUUGGUCACCGCCGUACACCUCCAGCAUGCUGUUGUUCAGUGACACCUUCAGAGGAAAGAAAGAGAAACUACAUACCGGCAGCAGUUGGAUCUCAGUCAGAGAGAUGACUUGAACCACACAGCAGCGGCUCAUGGUCCACAAGAAGGCCUUCACAGUAGGUCAGCAGGUGUCAUGCAAACAACAUGCACAAAUGGC